UCCCGCGAAAACGAAAAUGCCUCCUCCCUCCUCCGCCCCGCGCUUCGCCUCGCCUCGCCUCGAUCCCCCAUGGACGCCGGCGACCCCCUUCCCCGCAAGCGACACCUCAGCCCCCGACCCCGACCCCUCGCCGCCGGCCUCCUCGGAUGGGAUCAGCUCCGGCGAGAACGCGGUGGCGGGGAGGACGGGGUUCGGUAGCCCCAGCCCCGCCGCCGACUCCUCGUUGCCGACGCCGCCGCCGACUCCGACUCGGUUCCUGCGGCGAGGAGGCCUAGCCGCCGCCGCAUCGCCCCCACCGAGAUUACUCAUCUUGUACAGGUGAAACUUCAAGUGAAACUGAAAGCACUUCCUCUGCAAGUGAAACAAAUCUGGUCAUUGUCGCAUUGAAUAGUAUUUGGUUGAAUAUGAGAGAGCUUAAUGCUAUAAAGGUGUCCAAGAAAGAUAAGCGCUUUGAAAAAUUUUAAUAGAAAGAAAGAGAUUGGAACAGGGAAAUAAGAGUUAGAAUUUCAGGAAGAUUUAAUAGAAAGAAAGAGAUUGAAGUUGCAAUUCCAGAUGGAGAGAGGAGAGAAUUAUGAACGUGGACCUUAAUGGUAUGACUGGGCAACAAAAAGAAUAAAUCUCGAUCUUGCAGACUGAGAUCAUAGCUCGAUGAUCAGUUUGAGCUGCACUACUUGUUUGCCUGCUUAUCAUAUGAAUUAUUCGUACAAGCUACUUGUGUGAACUGGUUGCUGCAUGACCUACUUACUUAUGAACUCCUGUUUGUUAUAUAUGAACCAUGUGUGACAUGCAAUUUUUCCACUUCCCAAUGUAUGCAACCUAUGCUUCCUAGUAUUUCGGGAAAACCUGUACUCUCUAAUUACAGGUAAUCCAGCAGUAUCAUAAUUAUCAUAAUCUCAGACAAUUGUGUUUGAUGUGUGUUGUGUGGUAUAUUUUGUUGUUUCUCUGAUACGAUAUUUUUUUCGCUGCUUAUGAAAAUAUAGUUCAACUAGGGGUACCCAUAUAUUCGGUUCAGUUCACUCCCAUCUCUACUUGCAAUAAUUUUGAACUUGUACCUGAUACCAGCUUUACUCACCUUCUGUUGUUACUUCUUAGACGGGCUUGCAGUACUGUGUUUGUUCACCUUUGUUUUGGUACACGUUGUGUGAUCUUGCUCCCAGAAAACAAUUGCUUUGAUGCUGAUCUGUAUGUCUCUUGAAGCCAGCUGAGAACAGAGAUGGAAGAGGUGCACAGCAAAAUUCCUACUGCAAGUUUGCAACACCCUGAAAAACUACCGUCCAAGCAAGAAUGGCAUUUUGUCUGACUGGCGCGUGAAUGGCAUGUAACUUCACCUGUAAUUUUCAUAAUCUGCCCAUGCCUUGGACCCAGCUGUUCGUUCUCUGAAGACUGAAGCUACUAUGCUUUUCUUCACUCCUGAAAAAUCUUUGAAGUGAUCUGAUGGCACAAUUGAAGCAAGCUGACCACCCCCCCAAGCGCUCUUACAAUGCCAUCAUCAUUCAGCCUUGAUUUGUGCCCAUGCAUAAUGCCAUCACCAACACGGAUCUGAAAUCUGAUCUGAUCCAGAGAGUGAGUGAGAGAGAGGAUAGGCUGUGGGGGCCUUCCUCUCUCUCUCUCUCCCCUCUGCAUGCAGGCUGCAGUGCAAGGCUGCCAUGAAACAGGGAAAGAAUUGAGGUGAGCCCCUGCCAGCCAUGGGGCCAGUGAGUCAAGGCGGCUAUGAUCGGGUGGCUGGGUGAGGUGAGGUGACCGCCAUUUUUCUUCCAUCCAUCCAGGGCAAACGAGGGGGAGCAGAGGUGCGCCUUUGGGGAAAGAUGGACAGUAGAUUUGCACGGGGCAAAAGCUCCUCCUCCUCCCCCCCUCCCUCGGGGUUCUUUUUCUUUCAGCUAUGGGUGGGGUUUCGACGAGAUGAUGGUCGCCGUGAUGGUGGUAGAGGUAAUGGCUACAAUAUCGCCAAUCUAAGGUUGUUAUCUGGAAUAUGGUAUGGCGUAUGUUUUCUCUCAAUUUCGUUGUAGACGGGUAAACAAGUAACAAUUCGAUGGUUAUAUAUUGUCAUAGGAACAUGUAGCUAGCUCAAUCAUACUCCCAACAUUUUUGUUAUUCGA